CCCGGUUCCCAAAGAGGAAAGUUGGAUUCUGGAGCUGCCAAUGGGGAUUUGGGGGCUGUCACAGAGGUUGGAAGUCAGUGUUCCCACAGUGAGCAAUGGCUUGGUGCCCUGCGAUGCUUGAGGUUAACCAGGAAUGAUAUUAAACCUGCGGGGUGACCCUGAUGGGGUGAGAUCUAUUUUUCCCACAGUACCCUUCAGAUCUCAGCAGUGGUGAGUAGCAGCCCAGCAAAGCAGAGCAGGUUGCAGAGGGAGCUGUGCCCAGCUUUGGCUGUGGACUGGAAGUGAAGGGCUGAAAUCCUCUCCAGAUCCCCGGGAUUAAAUUCUCAGCAGGACCUCCCUAUGCUGUGGUGCUAAGGAGUGCGUUCAGAUUACCUGGGAAAGGAGGCCAACCCCCGUCCUGCUUGCAGAAGGAGGUACCAACACCCCUCAGUGCCUGGGCUGGCAGAUUUUCCUGAGGACGGGAAGUGUGGUGGUUGGUAGAGGAUGGACUCUGUUGUCUUCCAGGUAAGAGCCAGCCCUGCUCAUCACUUCACCUUAAACUCAGACCAACCUCUUACCACUGCUGAAGCAACAGAUGCACUGCA
ensembl:lncRNA